rnacentral:rRNA from 1 species
AGAGUUUGAUCAUGGCUCAGGGCAAACGCUGGCGGCGUGCGUAACACAUGCAAGUCGAACGGCGCGAUGGGUUUCGGCCCAGCGCGCAGUGGCGGACGGGUGAGUAACACGUGGAUAACCUGCCCAAUCGCGUGGGGGAUAGCCUUCAGAAAUGAGGGAUAAUACCGCAUGAGGCGUCGGGGUCGCGGGAGCGGCGCUGACGGGAAAGCUCGUGGGAGUGAAAGCUCUUGGGGGCGCGCGUGGAGGGGUCCGCGGCCGAUUAGCUAGUUGGGGGGGUAAGAGCCUCCCAAGGCGACGAUCGGUAGCUGGUCUGAGAGGAUGGUCAGCCACACUGGGAUUGAGAACGGCCCAGACUCCUACGGGGGGCAGCAGUGAGGGAUCUUCGGCAAUGGGGGCAACCCCGACCGAGCAACGCCGCGUGCGGGACGACGCCUUUCGGGGUGUAAACCGCUUUUCUGGGGGACGAGGCUAAUGAGUACGGACGGUACCCCAGGAAGAAGUCUCGGCUAACUACGUGCCAGCCGCCGCGGUAAUAC